GCCGCACUUCCGGUCCCGGCGGCCCUCGCGCCGCUGCGCAUGCGUAUGUGUCCUCGUUGUACCCGCCCCUCCCCGGUUACUCCCGCUGCGCAUGCGCGGAACAGAGCCCGCAGGAAGGGAGGGGGCUCGGGCUUCCAGCCCACCGAGGGCGGUCUCCGGGAGGCUUGGGCUGGCAGUGUACGGUGCCGGAGGAGAGCAAUGAAGACGACGGGCCGCGGCCCGGGCUGGUAGGGGGCAGCAAGAAAGUUCCAGCUCGAAGGGUCACAGGAAAAUCCGAGAAGGGCGAUGAAUAGGACAGGCUGACCACAGGUGGGAAACAGACCUACAAGGUAGCCAUCACAGCUGACAGAAGAAUGGAACAAUGCGAUGCCUGGUGACCGACAUCCCUGGACCCCAUCCUCACUGCCCGUUUUCUCUAUAUAACUGCCUCAAGAUUCUGUAAUCCUUGAAGAUUGGUUUUUGACACAUUAGUCACCCAUGUUCCGAUUUGCCAGCUAAUCUAAUUAAACUUCCUUUCUCAGCUAAGA